rnacentral:rRNA from 1 species
AGCGAACGCUGGCGGCAGGCCUAAUACAUGCAAGUCGAGCGCCCUUUCGGGGGAGCGGCGGACGGGUGAGUAACGCGUGGGAACGUGCCCUUUGCUACGGAACAACUGAGGGAAACUUCAGCUAAUACCGUAUGUGCCCUUCGGGGAAAGGAUUUAUCGGCAUUGGAGCGGCCCGCGUUGGAUUAGGUAGUUGGUGAGGUAAAGGCUCACCAAGCCUACGAUCCAUAGCUGGUCUGAGAGGAUGAUCAGCCACACU